rnacentral:rRNA from 1 species
UUCCGGUUGAUCCUGCCGGACCUGACUGCUAUCGGAUUGAUACUAAGCCAUGCGAGUCAUUGUAGCAAUACAAGGCAGACGGCUCAGUAACGCGUAGUCAACCUAACCUAUGGACGGGAAUAACCUCGGGAGACUGAGAAUAAUGCCCGAUAGAACACUAUACCUGGAAUGGUUUGUGUUCCAAAUGAUUUAUCGCCGUAGGAUGGGACUGCGGCCUAUCAGUUUGUUGGUGAGGUAAUGGCCCACCAAGACUAUUACAGGUACGGGCUCUGAGAGGAGUAGCCCGGAGAUGGGUACUGAGACACGGACCCAGGCCCUAUGGGGCGCAGCAGGCGAGAAAACUUUGCAAUGUGCGAAAGCACGACAAGGUUAAUCCGAGUGAUUUGUGCUAAACGAAUCUUUUGUUAGUCCUAGAACCACUAACGAAUAAGGGGUGGGCAAGUUCUGGUGUCAGCCGCCGCGGUAAAACCAGCACCUCAAGUGGUCAGGAUGAUUAUUGGGCCUAAAGCAUCCGUAGCCGGCUCUGUAAGUUUUCGGUUAAAUCUGUACGCUUAACGUACAGGCUGCCGGGAAUACUGCAGAGCUAGGGA